CGAAACUUCCCCGGGGCGCCACGCUCAGGUCACACCCCCCCCGCCCGGGGGAAUUUUGGGCUAUUGGCAAAACCCUGAGGGAGCAAUCCCGCGUGAGGGACGAAGCCCUGUCGGUUGUUCUCUCUUUUUUUUAGAGAAGAUAAUGACGGUACCUGACGAAUAAGCAUCGGCUAACUCCGUCCCAGCAGCCGCGGUAAGACGGAGGAAGCAACCGUUAUCCGGAAUUAUUGGGCGUAAAGCGUACGUAGGCUGUUUGAUAAGUCUGUUGUCAAAGCCCGAGGCUCAACCUUAGAUCGGCAAUGGAAACUGUNAGACUAGAGAUAGAUAGGCCAGGAGGAAUUCCCGGUGUAGCGUGAAAUGCGUAUCUCUACAAGAACACCAGUGGUGAAAGCGGGUGCUGGACUGAACU
rnacentral:rRNA from 1 species